rnacentral:rRNA from 1 species
GUGGACUUGGACUCUGUUGUGUCAUUACAACUGGUCUGAAAUGUGUGAGUGCACCCUGCUGUUGCAGCGUCCUCAGUGUGAURAGCAUCUUCACUGAAUCAAGUUCCUUUGGGACACGUGUGUAAUGUGGGCUCUGUGCUGGCAAACUGUCUUUGGACAAUCUUGACAAUUUGACCUCAGAUCGAGUGGGACUACCCGCUGAACUUAAGCAUAUCAAUAAGCGGAGGAAAAGAAACUAACAAGGAUUCCCCUAGUAACGGCGAGUGAAGAGGGAAAAGCUCAAAUUUUGAAUCUGGUGCCUUUGGCAUCCGAGUUGUAAUCUAGAGAAGUGUUUUCUGCCUUGGACCACACAUAAAUUCCCUGGAAUGGGGUGUCAUAGAGGGUGAGAAUCCCGUUUGUGGUGUGGACUACCUUGGCUCUGUGAUACACUCUCAACGAGUCGAGUUGUUUGGGAAUGCAGCUCAAAAUGGGUGGUAAAUUCCAUCUAAAGCUAAAUAUUGGCGAGAGACCGAUAGCGAACAAGUACCGUGAGGGAAAGAUGAAAAGCACUUUGGAAAGAGAGUGAAACAGUACGUGAAAUUGUUGAAAGGGAAGCGUUUGAAGUCAGUCACAUUGGUCAGAAUUCAGCCUGGCUUAUGCCUGGUGUACUUUCUGGCAAAUGGGUCAGCGUCAAUUUUGACCGAGGGAGAAAGACUUGAGGAAGGUGGCUGUCUUUGGGCAGUGUUAUAGCCUCUUGUUGUAAUGCUCGGUUGGGAUUGAGGAUCGCAGCACGCCUUAUGGCCGGGGUUCGCGCCCUCGGUACGUGCUUAGGACGCUGGCAUAAUGGCUUUAAGCGACC